rnacentral:miRNA from 1 species
AAAUCUAUUCCUAUAGGAAUUCCUAUAGGAAAUUCCUAUAGGAAAUUCUAUUCCUAUAGGAUCCUAUAGGAAUUCCUAUAGGAAUUCCUAUAGGAAU